CAAGAUCUUCGACUCAGGCCUGCCUUUCACCGUGUUCGGCAGCAUUCACUCGCGCCAGACGCAGAAACACUAACCUGUGCUGCGGAUUAGCACGCUGGUGUAUUGUUUGGGGCCCCCACUGAGCCCGCUACAGCCAGCCUCAAAAAGUUCUGAAAAACACCCAAGCAUCCACAUUUCCGUUCAGUAAACAGCGGUGAAACCCUGCCAAGCACCAUCACACGUGCUGCACGAAUUCCCGCACACACCGGGAAGGCAAUUCAGAACCCACACGCACGUUAGGACGUACUUCGGAGUCGUUUCGGUUUAAAAAACGGAGAUGGUAUUAAUCCACGUGCACAGUAUACGUGCCUGUGGGAACCCCGUGGGAUUGUGAGCAGAGCCUCCUCCACGUAUUAAAUCUCAUGGCCCUGACCAUUCAUGAAACCUGUUCUCGACAACUGACUGUAAAUCCAAGCAAGGGCCCUGAGUCAUCGGUGUGGGAGGUGAUGUUCUGGAAGAUGAUUUCAACAACGAUGGAAAUAUAAUUGUCAGUACGCUUUUCCAUUCCACGAAACGGACACCGUCGAAUCCCAAGAAGAGGCUCGGGGGCGCACGGAGCUGAAUGUCUUUUGACGAUGGUUUGGCGCCCGGGAAGACGGCUGAGCACGGCAAUGAAUGGUGCCCAUUACCUGAUAUUCAUACUUGUGACAACAGAGGGAAGAAUCACAACACAACAGCUGGUGUAACAGGGCAAUGAAAUAAUGAAGGUAUCCUAGCAACCGUAUUUUCGCAACUGUGGGCUGUAAGAGUGUGAUGACUGUUAGCCACAUUUUAUCAACUCAGGAGGAUAUUAGAAAGCGAAGAACCUGAAACUCAGAGAAAUUCAGUGUUGUCCCCACUGAGAACAGUUUUAGCAGCUCAAAAGAAGAUUCAGAUUUAAAUGAAGGCCUUGGGAACAUGUAGUGCUUCUGUCCGCUGAACGACUGAAGAAGCCAUCAACGUGCAGGUCUUGCAGGACCUGAAUAAGGCCCAUUCGAGGAGAAAGUGAAACGAGCCCGAGUUCACCGUCCCUCAGCUGGCCAAUGGAGAUAUUUUCCGUAAAGAAAUUCUGACAAACCCUUUUCUAGAGCAAGUUCUUGCUGAACAUUUUCCAGGUAUGUGCCCAUUUAAAUAUUUACUUGGAAGUGUCUUUUGUUUUUAAGAAGCUUAUUUGGAAAUUCUGAGUGCAAAUUAUGGCUGUGUAAUUUAUUUGGACAAAAGCAAGCUGGUUGCCGGGUUACUGUUUUAAAUGGUCUUAUAAAGUAGUGCUUGGUAAUACCACCUUAAACCAGUGUUUACCGUUCCUGACAACUGUCCCUGUUAUGUGCUUCAGAAGUAUUUAGGUUGGAUGUGGUUUCUAACCCCCCAAAACCCAUCGCCCCUCGAUAAGUAGGAUUAGACGACAGAUGGACGU